AACGAACGCUGGCGGCAUGCCUAACACAUGCAAGUCGAACGAGAACUUCGGGUCUAGUGGCGCACGGGUGCGUAACGCGUGGGAACCUGCCCUUAGGUUCGGAAUAACUCCCCGAAAGGGGUGCUAAUACCGGAUAAUGUCUUCGGACCAAAGAUUUAUCGCAUUUGGAUGGGCCCGCGUUGGAUUAGCUAGUUGGUAGGGUAAAAGCCUACCAAGGCGACGAUUCAUAGCUGGUCUGAGAGGAUGAUCAGCCACACUGGGACUGAGACACGGCCCAGACUCCUACGGGAGGCAGCAGUGGGGAAUAUUGGACAAUGGGCGAAAGCCUGAUCCAGCAAUGCCGCGUGAGUUAUGAAGGCCUUAGGGUUGUAAAGCUCUUUUACCCGUGAUGAUAAUGACAGUACCGGGAGAAUAAGCUCCGGCUAACUCCGUG
rnacentral:rRNA from 1 species